rnacentral:rRNA from 1 species
AUACGGAAGGGCCGGGCGUUAUCCGGAUUUAUUGGGCUUAAAGGGAGCGCAGACGGUCUGUUAAGCGUGCAGUGAAAUGUGGGGGCUCCACAUCGGCACUGCUUCGUGAACUGGCGGGCUUGAGUUGUGUGGAGGUGCGCGGAAUUCCUGGUGUAGCGGUGUAAUGCUUAGAUAUCACGAGGAACCCCGAUUGCGAAGGCGGCGCACCGUUAGCACACUGACGUUGAGGCUCGAAGGUGCGGGUAUCGAACAGGAUUAGAUACCCUGGUAGUCCGCACGGUAAACGAUGGAUGCCCGCUGUCGGCGAUACACUGCCGGCGGCCAAGCGAAAGCGUUAAGCAUCCCACCUGGGGAGUACGCCGGCAACGGUGAAACUCAAAGGAAUUGACGGGG